rnacentral:rRNA from 1 species
AUUGAACGCUGGCGGCAUGCUUUACACAUGCAAGUCGAACGGUAACGCGGGGCAACCUGGCGACGAGUGGCGAACGGGUGAGUAAUGCAUCGGAACGUGCCCGGUAGUGGGGGAUAACUGCUCGAAAGAGCAGCUAAUACCGCAUACGACCUGAGGGUGAAAGGGGGGGAUCGCAAGACCUCUCGCUAUUGGAGCGGCCGAUGUCGGAUUAGCUAGUUGGGGGGGUAAGGGCCCACCAAGGCGACGAUCCGUAGCUGGUCUGAGAGGACGACCAGCCACACUGGGACUGAGACACGGCCCAGACUCCUACGGGAGGCAGCAGUGGGGAAUUUUGGACAACGGACGCAAGUCUGAUCCAGCCAUGCCGCGUGCGGGAAGAAGGCCUUCGGGUUGUAAACCGCUUUUGUCAGAGAAGAAAUCUUCUGGGUUAAUACCUCGGGAGGAUGACGGUAUCUGAAGAAUAAGCACCGGCUAACUACGUGCCAGCCGCCGCAGUAA